AUUGAACGCUGGCGGCAUGCUUUACACAUGCAAGUCGAACGGUAACAGGCCUUCGGGUGCUGACGAGUGGCGAACGGGUGAGUAAUGCAUCGGAACGUACCCAGAGGUGGGGGAUAACGCAGCGAAAGCUGUGCUAAUACCGCAUGUGAUCUGAGGAUGAAAGCGGGGGACCGAGCAGCAAUGUUUGGCCUCGCGCCUUUGGAGCGGCCGAUGUCGGAUUAGCUAGUUGGUGGGGUAAAGGCCUACCAAGGCGACGAUCCGUAGCUGGUCUGAGAGGACGACCAGCCACACUGGGACUGAGACACGGCCCAGACUCCUACGGGAGGCAGCAGUGGGGAAUGUUGGACAAUGGGCGCAAGCCUGAUCCAGCAAGGCCGCGUGAGGGAAGAAGGCCUUCGGGUUGUAAACCGCUUUUGGCAGGAACGAAACGGUGUCCGCUAAUACCGGGCGCUAAUGACGGUACCUGCAGAAUAAGCACCGGCUAACUACGUG
rnacentral:rRNA from 1 species